rnacentral:rRNA from 1 species
UUCCGGUUGAUCCUGCCGGAGGUUACUGCUAUCGAGGUUCGACUAAGCCAUGCGAGUCGAAUGCCGCAAGGCAUGGCGUACUGCUCAGUAACACGUGGACAACCUACCCUUAGGUCGGGGAUAACCCCGGGAAACUGGGUAUAAUACCCGAUAGUCCUCGAAUGCUGGAAUGCACCGAGGACGAAAGCUCCGGUGCCUAAGGAUGGGUCUGCGGCCUAUCAGGUAGUAGUGGGUGUAGCGUACCUACUAGCCUACGACGGGUACGGGUUGUGAGAGUAAGAGCCCGGAGAUGGAUUCUGAGACACGAAUCCAGGCCCUACGGGGUGCAGCAGGCGCGAAAACUUUACAAUGCCGGCAACGGCGAUAAGGGGACCUUGAGUGCCAGGAUACAAUCUUGGCUGUCGUCGUGUCUAAAAAACACGAUAUAGCAAGGGCCGGGCAAGACCGGUGCCAGCCGCCGCGGUAACACCGGCGGCUCGAGUGGUAACCGCUAUUAUUGGGUCUAAAGGGUCUGUAGCCGGCUUGGUAAGUCUCUUGGGAAAUCCGGCAGCUUAACUGUCGGGCUGUCAGGAGAUACUGCCAGGCUCGAGGCCGGGAGAGGUGAGAGGUACCUCAUGGGUAGGGGUGAAAUCUUGUAAUCCUUGAGGGACCACCAGUGGCGAAGGCGUCUCACCAGAACGGACCUGACGGCAAGGGACGAAAGCUAGGGGCACGAACCGGAUUAGAUACCCGGGUAGUCCUAGCCGUAAACGAUACUCGCUAGGUGUCGGCCACGGUGCGACCGUGGUCGGUGCCGUAGGGAAGCCGUGAAGCGAGCCACCUGGGAAGUACGGCCGCAAGGCUGAAACUUAAAGGAAUUGGCGGGGGAGCACCACAACGGGUGGAGCUUGCGGUUUAAAUGGAUUCAACGCCGGG